AGCAGCCGCGGUAAUUCCAGCUCCAAUAGCGUAUAUUAAAGUUGUUGCAGUUAAAAGCUCGUAGUUGAAUUUCGGGAUCAUCAGGUUGGUCGUGCCUCUGGUAUGUACUGAUUUCGAUGGUCCCUCCUUCUUGAAGAGCCGUAAUGCCACUAAUUUGGUGUUGCGGGGAAUCAGGACUGUUACUUUGAAAAAUUGAGUGUUUAAAGCAGGCAAUCGCUUGAAUACAUUAGCAUGGAAUAAUGAAAUAGGACGUUCGAUCCUAUUCUGUUGGUUUCUAGGAUUGACGUAAUGAUUAAUAGGGAUAGUUGGGGGCAUUAGUAUUCAAUUGUCAGAGGUGAAAUUCUUGGAUUUAUUGAAGACUGACUACUGCGAAAGCAUUUGCCAAGGAUGUUU
rnacentral:misc_RNA from 1 species